UACGUAGGGGGCUAGCGUUGUCCGGAAUCAUUGGGCGUAAAGCGCGUGUAGGCGGUCCGGUAAGUCCGCUGUGAAAGUCAAGGGCUCAACCCUUGAAAGCCGGCCGAUACUGUCGGACUAGAGUCCGGAAGAGGAAAGUGGAAUUCCCGGUGUAGUGGUGAUAUGCGUAGAUAUCGGAUGGAGACACCGGUGGCGAAGGCGGCUUCCU
rnacentral:rRNA from 1 species